rnacentral:rRNA from 1 species
UACGUAGGGACCGAGCGUUGUCCGGAUUCAUUGGGCGUAAAGAGCUCGUAGGCGGCUGCUCAAGUCGAAUGUGAAAACUCGAGGCUCAACCUCGAGAUGUCGAUGGAAACCGUCUGGCUAGAGUCCGGAAGAGGAGUGUGGAAUUCCUGGUGUAGCGGUGAAAUGCGCAGAUAUCAGGAAGAACACCUAUGGCGAAGGCAGCACUCUGGGACGGUACUGACGCUGAGACGCGAAAGCGUGGGGAGCGAACAGG